rnacentral:rRNA from 1 species
UGGGGAAUAUUCCGCAAUGGACGAAAGCCUGACGGAGCAACGCCGCGUGAGUGAUGAAGGCCUUUGGGUCGUAAAACUCUGUCUUUGGGGAUGAAACCAUUAUGUGUUAAUACCACAUAGUAUUGACAGUACCCGAGGAGGAAGCCCCGGCUAACUACGUGCCAGCAGCCGCGGUAAUACGUAGGGGGCGAGCGUUGUCCGGAAUCAUUGGGCGUAAAGGGCGUGUAGGCGGUUUUGUAAGUCAGAUGUGAAAACUUGAGGCUCAACUUCAAGCCUGCAUCUGAAACUACAUCACUUGAGGGCAGGAGAGGAAAGUGGAAUUCCAUGUGUAGCGGUGAAAUGCGUAGGUAUAUGGAAGAACACCAGUGGCGAAGGCGACUUUCUGGACUGAACCUGACGCUGAGGCGCGAAAGCCAGGGGAGCGAACG